GAUGAACGCUAGCGGCAGGCUUAAUACAUGCAAGUCGAGGGGCAGCAUGGGGUGUAGCAAUACACUCUGAUGGCGACCGGCAAACGGGUGCGGAACACGUACGCAACUUACCCAUAACUGAUGAAUAGCCCUCCGAAAGGAGGAUUAAUACAUCGUAAUACUUUUGAGGGGUAUCCCUUGAUAGUUAUAGCUCCGGCGGUUAUGGAUGGGCGUGCGGCUGAUUAGGUAGUUGGUUGAGGUAACGGCUCACCAAGCCUGCGAUCAGUAACUGGUGUGAGAGCACGACCAGUCACACGGGAACUGCGACACGGGCCCGACUCCUACGGGAGGCAGCAGUAAGGAAUAUUGGUCAAUGGACGCAAGUCUGAACCAGCCAUGCCGCGUGAAGGAUGAAGGUCCUCUGGAUUGUAAACUUCUUUUAUAAGGGAAGAAACCCGGGGAUUCUUUUCCGGUUGACGGUACCUUAGGAAUAAGCACCGGCUAACUCCGUGCCAGCCGCCGCAGUAACAC
rnacentral:rRNA from 1 species